AGAGUUUGAUCCUGGCUCAGGAUGAACGCUGGCGGCGUGCUUAACACAUGCAAGUCGAGCGAGAAACUACAUGCAGACACUUCGGUAGAAGCGAGUAGCGGAAAGCGGCGGACGGGUGAGUAACGCGUAGGCAACCUGCCCUUCACAGAGGUAUAGCCUCGGGAAACCGGGAUUAAAACCACAUAAAAUCAUAGGUUCGCAUGAACCAAAGGUCAAAGAUUUAUCGGUGAAGGAUGGGCCUGCGUCUGAUUAGCUGGUUGGUAGGGUAAAAGCCUACCAAGGCGACGAUCAGUAGCCGACCUGAGAGGGUGAUCGGCCACAUUGGAACUGAGACACGGUCCAAACUCCUACGGGAGGCAGCAGUGGGGGAUAUUGCACAAUGGGGGAAACCCUGAUGCAGCAACGCCGCGUGAGGUAUGAAGGCCUUUGGGUUGUAAGCCUCUGUCCUAGGGGAAGAAAAAAAUGACGGUACCCGAGGAGGAAGCCCCGGCUAACUACGUGCCAGCAGCCGCGGU
rnacentral:rRNA from 3 species